rnacentral:misc_RNA from 1 species
GAUGAAGAACGUAGCGAAAUGCGAUAAGUAGUGUGAAUUGCAGAAUUCAGUGAAUCAUCGAAUCUUUGAACGCACAUUGCGCCCCUUGGUAUUCCAUGGGGCAUGCCUGUUCGAGCGUCAUUUGUACCUUCAAGCUCUGCUUGGUGUUGGGUGUUUGUCUCGCCUCUGCGUGUAGACUCGCCUCAAAACAAUUGGCAGCCGGCGUAUUGAUUUCGGAGCGCAGUACAUCUCGCGCUUUGCACUCAUAAAGACGACGUCCAAAAGUACAUUUUUACACUCUUGACCUCGGAUCAGGUAGGGAUACCCGCUGAACUUAAGCAUAUCAAUAAGCGGAGGA